UGACCUCGGAUCAGGUAGGAAUACCCGCUGAACUUAAGCAUACAA
rnacentral:rRNA from 1 species